UACGGGGGGGGCAAGCGUUGUUCGGAAUUACUGGGCGUAAAGGCUCGUAGGCGGCCAACUAAGUCAGACGUGAAAUCCCUCGGCUUAACCGGGGAACUGCGUCUGAUACUGGAUGGCUUGAGUUUGGGAGAGGGAUGCGGAAUUCCAGGUGUAGCGGUGAAAUGCGUAGAUAUCUGGAGGAACACCGGUGGCGAAGGCGGCAUCCUGGACCGAGAUUGACGCUGAGGCGCGAAAGCCAGGGGAGCAAACGGG
rnacentral:rRNA from 1 species